CAGUAGUCACGAGUUUGAUCAUGGCUACAGAUUGAACGCUGGCGGCAUGGCUAAAACAUGCAAGUCGAACGAUCCCUUCGGGGAGAGUGGCGAAAGGGCGAGGAAUAGAAUCGAAUGUACCCCAAGGUGGGGGAUAGCCUCUGGAAACGGAGGGUAAUACCCCAUGUGCUCUACGGAGGAAAGGUUUACCGCCUUGGGAGCAGCGAUUCUCCUAUCAGGUACGUUGGUGAGGUAACGGCUCACCAAGCCGAAGACGGGUANCGGGUGUGAGAGCAUGACCCGCCGCAUCGGGACUGAGACACUGCCCGGACUCCUACGGGAGGCUGCAGUAACGAAUCUUCCGCAAUGGGCGAAAAGCCUGACGGAGCAAUGCCGCGUGUGGGAUGAAGCAUCUUCGAUGUGUAAACCACUGUCAGGGUCUAGGAAUACUGACCAGACCCAAAGGAAGGGCCGGCUAAUUCCGUG
rnacentral:rRNA from 1 species